AGAAAUGGUCAGCCUCGGUAGAA
rnacentral:siRNA from 1 species